AGGGCUGAUGUUCCUUUUGGUGUCUCUGUCUUUGUGGAUCUCUUCUUUACCUAGUACCUUUGCUUGCCAUGGGUCCCCACUCAACUUUCUAACACCCUAAUUCCAUGCAUGACUCAUUCUUACACUCUCUAACUUCAAAGUCUUGAGAGAGGAGAGGCCUUAACUCACAGACAGGUGGCAAGCCGGGACAUGGAUUUCCCUUGGGAAAUGCCCAUGACCUUCAUCGCAGCAGCGUAUGUGCGUUGGUCUUCUCCAGGGAUGCCGAAAGUAGACAUACAGGGAGUCGCAGUACGGAUACCACCAGUGCCAGCCUGACCUCACAAGAGACGUCUUGUGUGACUGGCCCUGCCGUCACAGCUGGGCCAGUAAAGUACCUUCCAGGAGGCUCCAGUUGCUACCUGACUCACAACCUUCUAAUCCCAUGAUCUUUUAGUUCUAGUUUCCUUAUCUUGGUCUGAGCAAAUGGCUCAUUUUAAAGAUGACUUGCAGACAAAUGUAGAGAUCAUCCCAGGGGAAAGUGCCCCAAGAAAGGAGAGUCCAAGACCACCUGCCCCUCCCAGUUCUGCGGCUGGAGUGGGUGGGUGCAGCAACCACAGCCCCAGUGUACAGGAGUCACCACUGUCUCCUCCCGCAUUGGCCCAGCUUGGAAGUGCACAGCAACCAAGCAUGAGGACUGAGUUAAGCUUUUCGGAGAAAAAAGACACUAUGAUCAUCUGGCAGAUCACGAUCACUGUUUGGUGCCAGAGGUCUGAAAUGCAGAAGACAGAAGAUGAGCUCUGGCUCUUCACCUGCAUGGCUGGUGGCAGUGUGGCCUCAGUCUUCUGGGGCUUGAGGAGCUCUGACACUGGUCAGGUCAGAGGUGCCCACUCACCCACUGCUGCCCGUAGCUGUCUUCCACAUCGUUGAUCCAGCGGUCAUCCCAGUCCACUCGGAGGCCCAACAGGUGAAUUGGGAGGAAGCCGUUCUCAGCCAGAAUCACAAAGUGAAGUAUACAAAAAUAAAGAUUCCCAUCUGAUAAACAAAUGUUAACUGCUGCCUUGAAGAGUGGUAAUACUGAUUCUGUGAAGCCGGGAUUGGGACACACACUGGAUACUGGUCCUGAGAAUUUCUUUUCCCAACGCCAGCCUCAUGGAUGCUGGGAGCAUAGUGCCAGUGAAUGAAGACACAGCUCACACCUCACUACUAUCGAUCUGUGACUGUUGUGACACUCACCAUGUCAGUGCCCAAGUCAAUGCAGAGGAUGGUGACAGUCCCCAGUGGUAGUGGAAUGUUUGCAAUAAUAAAUAUCAGGAACGGGGUGAUCUCGGGAAUGUUACUGGUUAAGGUAUAAGCAAUGGAUUUCUUCAAGUUAUCAAAGAUCAGACGACCUAUGAAAACCAAGAUUUUUUACUGUUAGCUUAUGAGACAAGCACACUGGAAACUGAACAUAUCCAAGAAGUAUACAGAAAUGGAUGCUAAUGGGCAGUAUCUGAAUAAGAUCUUGGUGUACACCUUAAAUAGCUCUCACCUUCCUCUACUCCAGUCACAAUUGAGGCAAAGUUGUCAUCCAGAAGAAUCAUGUCAGCAGCUUGCUUGGACACAUCUGAGCCAGCAAUCCCCAUAGCAACCCCAAUGUCUGCUUUCUUCAAAGCUGGAGAGUCAUUCACACCGUCACCAGUCACAGCCACGAUAGCACCCUACCCCAGAAAAGGGAAAACGGGUUAAUACCAAUCACUUUUCCUAGCGAUGGAAAUAGUGCGAUGCAUGCCCCCACUGAGCACUCAUUACAGACACUGCUCCUUUCCUAUUGAGACUAUUUAUGAAGCCUGAGAACCGUCACAGGCAAGUAUUCACACAGGCCCUACACCAAAUAACAGAACUGAGAAGUGACAACAAACAUAGCCCCCAGCAUUAACAAGAGC
ensembl:lncRNA ATP1A1-AS1 ATP1A1 antisense RNA 1